rnacentral:rRNA from 1 species
CGGUGUUUAACUGGCGUGAUGUGGGACGUCCUACCGGUGGGCUUAGCCUCGCGAGGGGCGGCCCAACUAAUAUCCCGUCGCGGUGCUCUUUACUGAGUGUCGAGUCGGGCCGGUACGUUUACUUUGAACAAAUUAGAGUGCUUAAAGCAGGCUAUCCUCGCCUGAAUACUGCGUGCAUGGAAUAAUGGAAUAGGACCUCGGUUCUAUUUUGUUGGUUUUCGGAACCCCGAGGUAAUGAUUAAUAGGGACAGAUGGGGGCAUUCGUAUUGCGACGUUAGAGGUGAAAUUCUUGGAUCGUCGCAAGACGGACAGAAGCGAAAGCAUUUGCCAAAAAUGUUUUCAUUAAUCAAGAACGAAAGUUAGAGGUUCGAAGGCGAUCAGAUACCGCCCUAGUUCUAACCAUAAACGAUGCCAGCUAGCGAUCCGCCGAAGUUCCUCCGAUGACUCGGCGGGCAGCUUCCGGGAAACCAAAGCUUUUGGGUUCCGGGGGAAGUAUGGUUGCAAAGCUGAAACUUAAAGGAAUUGACGGAAGGGCACCACCAGGAGUGGAGCCUGCGGCUUAAUUUGACUCAACACGGGAAACCUCACCAGGCCCAGACACCGGAAGGAUUGACAGAUUGAUAGCUCUUUCUUGAUUCGGUGGGUGGUGGUGCAUGGGCCGUUCUUAGUUGGUGGAGCGAUUUGUCUGGUUAAUUCCGAUAACGAGCGAGACUCUAGCCUGCUAAAUAGGCGUACCUUAUGGUAUCGCGAAGGCCCCCGGCUUCGGCCGGUGGGUUUUUACUACCAACGUACAAACAAAUCUUCUUAGAGGGACAGGCGG